AAACACAUACCCACAUAUACGAGUGAGGUUACGCAUAUAACAAACUUCCCCCAAAACCAAAACCCUAGAAAACACACUCUUCGCCAUGGACGCACUGCGAAAGCAGCUGGAUGUGUUGAUGGGAGCGAAUCGAAACGGCGACGUUCGAGAAGUGAAUCGCAAGUAUUACGAUCGUGAUGUCUGUCGUCUCUACUUGGUCGGUCUUUGUCCUCACGAGCUCUUUCAACUCACUAAAAUGGACAUGGGACCUUGCUCAAAGGUGCACUCGCUACAAUUGAGGAAAGAAUAUGAAGAAUCCAGGGCAAAAGGUCAAGACAACUAUGAAAGGGAGCUGGAAGAUGUUAUUGAUAGACUUAUUGUUGAGUGUGAUAGAAAAAUUGCUAGAGCUCUUAAACGUCUAACUGAUGAGGAUGCUAAAGCAGCGAUUGCAAUCUCUGUCUCUGAAGUUACAACGACACCUGAGAUCCUUGAAAUGUCGAAAGAGAUAAAGGAGAAGCUCAAAGAAGCUGAUCAAUAUGAUCUUGAAGGCAAGACAGAUAUGAAGAUUCGAGCCUUAGAGGUUGUGGAAGAACUUAGAACUAAAAGAGCAGAUAAACAGUCAAUGCUACUGUUAGAUGCCUUCAACAAAGAUCGGGCUUCCUUGCCUCAGCCCCUUCCAAAUCCUCCUUCAUUGGCACCCUUACCUGUAGCUGUUCCUGAUGCCCGCACACAGGAGAUGAUUAAUGAGAAGCUUAAGAAAGCUGAAAUGCUUGGUGAGCAGGGUUUGGUUGAUGAGGCUCAGAAAGCAUUGGAAGAAGCAGAAGAACUCAAGAAGUUGCCCGGUCCUCGGCAAGAACCUGUUGUAGAUACCUCGAAGUACACAGCUGCUGAUGUGCGCAUUACGGAUCAGAAGUUGCGUGUCUGUGACAUAUGUGGAGCUUUCUUGAGUGUCUAUGACAGGCUUUUGGCCCAGUUUUACGAGGAUAAACUUAUGCAGCUAAAGAAUUGACCGUCGAUUGGCUGACCAUUUUGGAGGAAAGCUUCACCUUGGCUAUAUGCAAAUCCGUGAAAAGUUGGCUGAUCUAAAGGAUGAGAGAGACAAUAAAAGGAAGGCAUCAGAAGAACUGAGAAAAUCAAAAGAGCAGAGCAGGGAACGUGAUAGAGAAGGUAGCAGGGAUCGAGGAGGCAGUCGUGAAAGAGCAAGGGAUCAUGAUCGCAGGAGCAGAGACCGCGACAGGUAUGCUGACCGUGAUCAUGGGUAUGAUCGAGAACGUGAAAGAGAGAGGGACCGAUCCCGCAGCUACGAUUCAAGGAGUCGUCGUCGGUCACGUUCACGAUCAAGAGAGCGAGCUAGGGAUUAUGAUCGCCAUAGCAGGCGUCAUGAUCGAUACUAGCUGCCAUAUGAAGCUGAAGGGGUGGAUCAGGGAACAUGUCCUCCUGACGUAUCACUGAUGUUCCUAGAUCAUAUGUUAGGGAGAGCUGUUUGUUUUUUUUAAUCAAAGUUGACAUGGUAGUGGUUAUCCAUAUUUAAUCCUGUAAUAGUAUGGGAAACAAUAGUUUUCUUUGUUAUCUUGUUUCUUAAAAAAUUCAAAGUCUCUCCAUUUGGCAACGCUGAUUCAGAUUGUUUUGUGACCCUAGCAGCAAGGACCAAGGCAUAAAUACUCUUUUCUGAUAUGUUUUUGACAUAAUAUUAGUUAUUAAGUAUUUAGUUUCCAUCACAA